rnacentral:rRNA from 1 species
GAUGAACGCUGGCGGCGUGCCUAAUACAUGCAAGUCGAGCGAACAGAUAAGGAGCUUGCUCCUUUGACGUUAGCGGCGGACGGGUGAGUAACACGUGGGUAACCUACCUAUAAGACUGGGAUAACUUCGGGAAACCGGAGCUAAUACCGGAUAAUAUUUCGAACCGCAUGGUUCGAUAGUGAAAGAUGGUUUUGCUAUCACUUAUAGAUGGACCCGCGCCGUAUUAGCUAGUUGGUAAGGUAACGGCUUACCAAGGCGACGAUACGUAGCCGACCUGAGAGGGUGAUCGGCCACACUGGAACUGAGACACGGUCCAGGCUCCUGCGGGAGGCAGCAGUAGGGAAUCUUCCGCAAUGGGCGAAAGCCUGACGGAGCAACGCCGCGUGAGUGAUGAAGGUCUUCGGAUCGUAAAACUCUGUUAUUAGUGAAGAACAUACGUGUAAGUAACUGUGCACGUCGUGACGGUACCUAAUCAGAAAGCCACGGCUAACUACGUG